GGCUCAGGAUGAACGCUAGCGGCAGGCUUAAUACAUGCAAGUCGUGGGGCAGCAUGAGUAGCAAUACUUGAUGGCGACCGGCAAACGGGUGAGGAACACGUACACAACCUUCCUUCAAGCGGGGAAUAGCCCAGAGAAAUUUGGAUUAAUACCCCAUAAUAUAUUUGAUAAGGCAUCUUAUUAAUAUUAAAGCUUCGGCACUUGAUGAUGGGUGUGCGGCUGAUUAGAUAGUUGGCGGGGUAACGGCCCACCAAGUCUACGAUCAGUAGCUGAUGUGAGAGCAUGAUCAGCCACACGGGCACUGAGACACGGGCCCGACUCCUACGGGAGGCAGCAGUAAGGGAUAUUGGGCAAUGGACGAAAGUCUGAUCCAGCCAUGCCGCGUGAAGGAUUAAGGUCCUCUGGAUUGUAAACUUCUUUUAUAUGGGACGAAAAAAGGGCAUUCUUGUUCACUUGACGGUACCAUAUGAAUAAGCACCGGCUAACUCCGUG
rnacentral:rRNA from 1 species